rnacentral:rRNA from 1 species
AGAAUGAGUAGCGAGAGGAAGGUGAGAAUCCUUCCGGCCGAAUAUCUAAGGUUUCCAGAGUAAAGCUGAUCUGCUCUGGGUAAGUCGGGGCCUAAGGCCAGGUCGAAAGACGUAACCGAUGGACAACAGGUUGAAAUUCCUGUACCUUAAGUAAACAGAACUGUGGGGACACGUGUGGGGAGCACAAGCCGGAAAUGGAAAAGCCGGUGCAAGCGAGGUAGGAGAUGAACAGGCAAAUCCGUUCAUCAAUCCGAAGACGUGAUGCGGACCGAAUUAAGAGUAGGGAAGUGUGUGAGCCAUGCGUCAAGAAAAGCCGCUAUUGUUUUACUUAAGCCCGUACCGUAAACCGACACAGGUGGAUGAGGAGAGAAUCCUAAGGCCGACGGGAGAAGCAUUGUUAAGGAACUCGGCAAAAUGACUCCGUAACUUCGGGAGAAGGAGUGCCAGCGAGAGCUGGCCGCAGAGAAUUGGCCCAAGCAACUGUUUAGCAAAAACACAGGUCUAUGCAAAACCGUAAGGUGAAGUAUAUGGGCUGACGCCUGCCCGGUGCUGGAAGGUUAAGAGGAGAGGUUAGCGGCAACGCGAAGCUUUGAAUUUAAGCCCCAGUAAACGGCGGCCGUAACUAUAACGGUCCUAAGGUAGCGAAAUUCCUUGUCGGGUAAGUUCCGACCCGCACGAAAGGCGUAAUGAUUUGGGCACUGUCUCAACAAUGCACCCGGUGAAAUUGAAAUACCAGUGAAGAUGCUGGUUACCUGCGCCAGGACGGAAAGACCCCAUGGAGCUUUACUCCAGCUUGAUACUGGGAUUCGGUAUUGCAUGUACAGGAUAGGUGGGAGGCUAGGAAGUGAUAACGCCAGUUGUCACGGAGCCGCUGUUGGGAUACCACCCUUGCAGUAUUGGAUUUCUAACCAGCGACCAUGAACUGGUCGGGGGACAAUGUCAGGUGGGGAGUUUGACUGGGGCGGUCGCCUCCGAAAGGGUAUCGGAGGCGCUCAAAGGUUCCCUCAGAAUGGACGGAAACCAUUCGAAGAGUGCAAAGGCAGAAGGGAGCUUGACUGCGACACCGACGGGUGGAGCAGGUACGAAAGUAGGACUUAGUGAUCCGGUGGUAUAAAGUGGGAUUGCCAUCGCUCAACGGAUAAAAGCUACCCUGGGAUAACAGGCUUAUCACUCCCAAGAGUUCACAUCGACGGAGUGGUUUGGCACCUCGAUGUCGGCUCAUCGCAUCCUGGGGCUGAAGUAGGUCCCAAGGGUUGGGCUGUUCGCCCAUUAAAGCGGUACGCGAGCUGGGUUCAGAACGUCGUGAGACAGUUCGGUCCCUAUCCGGCGUGGGCGUAGGAUAUUUGAGAGGAGCUGUCCUUAGUACGAGAGGACCGGGAUGGACUGGCCGCUGGUGUAUCUGUUGCAUACCAAAUGCAUGGCAGAGUAGCCAAGCCGGGACGGGAUAAACGCUGAAGGCAUCUAAGCGUGAAGCCCCCCCUCAAGAUGAGAUAUCCCUACGUAAGUAGUAAGACCCCUUGAAGACGACGAGGUAGAUAGGUCAGAGGUGGAAGUACAGUAAUGUAUGGAGCUGACUGAUACUAAUCGGUCGAGGGCAUGACC